rnacentral:rRNA from 1 species
CCUACGGGAGGCAGCAGUGAGGAAUAUUGGUCAAUGGCCGGAAGGCUGAAGCAGCCAUGCCGCGUGAUGGUCAGUGCCCUAUGGGCGUUAAACUUCUUUUGUCCGGGAGCAAUAAUGGUCAUGUGCGGCCAGUAGACAGUACCGAACGAAUAAGCAUCGGCUAACCUCGUGCCAGCAGCCGCGGUAUUAUCGGGGGUGAAAGGGUUUUCCGGAUUUGUUGGGUGUCAAGGGUGCGUAGGCUGUGAGUUAAGUCAGCGAGGAAAUGCCGCCGGUUAACGGGGUGAAGUGCCAUUGAUACUGCCUGGCUUGAAUGCGGGUGAGGUGGGAGGAAUUUGUAGUGUAGCGGUGAAAUGCGUAGAUAU